GGCGGAGACUGUUGAAAGGGAACACAAGAGGCUUCUUGCCCGAAAGUCGAUCAUUGAAAAGCGCAAGGAAGAGCAUGAACGUCAAAUGCUUGAAAUUGAGCGGGAGGUGGAAUCGAAAAAACAAAAACAACAGAAGAUAAGUGAGGAGACCGAAAAGAUUAGACUCCAGAAUGAGGUGGCCAUAAGGGAGAAGGAGAGGAUCCGCCGGGAAAUCGAGGAGAAGGAACAUCAAGAGGCUCUGCAAAUGCUUAAGGAUGCCCAGAAACAUCAGAAAAAGGGGAAAAAACCUAUCAUCGAG
rnacentral:misc_RNA from 1 species